GUAGGGUGCGAGCGUUAAUCGGAAUUACUGGGCGUAAAGCGUGCGCAGGCGGUUUUGUAAGACAGGCGUGAAAUCCCCGGGCUCAACCUGGGAAUGGCGCUUGUGACUGCAAAGCUGGAGUGCGGCAGAGGGGGAUGGAAUUCCGCGUGUAGCAGUGAAAUGCGUAGAUAUGCGGAGGAACACCGAUGGCGAAGGCAAUCCCCUGGGCCUGCACUGACGCUCAUGCACGAAAGCGUGGGGAGCAAAC
rnacentral:rRNA from 1 species